GUUUUGGAGUGCAGGCGUGAAUAGUCCUUUCUGUCCUGCUUUGAGUACUGCUGUUGGGUGCCUUGGGGGGACCUUAAGGGAGCUCGGAAGUUGAGACGUGGUGAGUGCGAGAUCACUGCCCACAAAGGGGAGGAGCAGGCGGAUGAACAGCCAGAGCUGCAAUGGUGGAUCCUCCUCCAGGGCUGCAUGGGACGACAGAUAGAUGAGGCUCUAGGACGGGCACAAAUGCUACCCGAAUGCAAACCACUCCGGAGAUCUGUAAAAGGACUGGCCCCGGACAGGAAGCACACUUUAAACUAGAGGCGGGAGUCAAAGCCCCGGUGAAGAUUCUGUGACGGUUCAUUGUAUAAUUUAUGAUGAUGAAGAUUGAGUUGCAUUUUGCGGAAAAGAGAUGUUGAGAUAUCUAAGGCAUUGAGAAAUCUGUCAUGCAGACAUGCACACAGGGAGAGGGAGUACCCAAACUGAUGAGAACUUACAGGAAUUGGACCAUCUAAGCCCUUAGAAAGUGAAGUCCACUGUGUCUCAAACAAAGAUCUUCAUCCACAUCUUGAAGUUUGAAGUUUGGCCAAGAAUAUACAAAAUAGAUUCUCUUUCUCAGGAUGGCAAGUGUUCAUGACAUCAAUACUACCCAAGGCUUCAGAGUCAUUGGAUUGCAGGAUGCAGUGACUUAUGAUGAUGUGCGUGUGAACUUCACUGAGGAAGAGUGGGAUUUGCUGGAUCCUUCCCAGAAAAGUCUCUAUGAAGAGGUGAUGCUAGAGACAUACCAGAACAUCACUGCUAUAGGUAAGACUGAAUUUCCUCUUGCUUUUCUGAAUAAGGGACAAAUAUUUCUUUGUUAUUGAUCCUCUGUUGUUUCAAUUGAAGAGGAGGAAGAAUGAGCUUACAGGCAUGAAAGAAUUCAUAUUGGAGAGAAACCGUAUGAACGUAACCAAUGGGGUAAAGCCUUUGCAAGUGACAAUCAUCUCCAAAUACGUAAAAGAACAAAUACUGGAGAGAAACCUUAUGAAUGUAAUCAAUGUGGUAAAGCCUUUUCACAACAGAGUAGUCUCCAGUAUCAUAAAAGAACAUAUGCUGGACAGAAACCUUAUGAAUGUAAUCAGUGUGGUAAAGCCUUGUCAUGUCAAAGAAAUCUCCAAUAUCAUAAAAGAACACAUACUGGAGAGAAACCCUAUGAAUGUAAUCAGUGUGGUAAAGCCUUCACACAUUACAAUAAUCUCCGAUAUCAUAAAAGAACACAUACUGGAGAAAAACCUUAUGAAUGUAAUCAGUGUGGUAAAGCCUUUGCACGUUACAAUAAUCUCCAGUGUCAUAAAAGAACACAUACUGGAGAGAAACCUCAUGUGUGUGAUCAAUGUGGUAAAACCUUUGCAUGGCAGUAUACUCUCCAAAAACAUAAAAGAAUACAUACUGGAGAGAAACCUUAUCAAUGUAGUCAAUGUGAUAAAGCAUUUUCAGAACACAGUAGUCUUCAAUAUCAUAAAAGAACACAUACUGGAGAGAAACCUUAUGAGUGUGAUCAAUGUGGUAAAGCCUUUGCUUGGCAGUGUAGUCUCCAUAUCCAUAAAAGAACACAUUCUGGAGAGAAACCUUAUGAGUGUAAUGAAUGUGGUAAAGCCUUUGCACAUCACACUAGUCUCCAAAGUCAUAAAAGAAUACAUACUGGAGAGAAACCUUAUCAGUGUGAUCAGUGUGGUAAAGCAUUUGCACAUCAAAAUAAUCUCCAAUAUCAUAAAAGAACACAUACUGGAGAGAAACCAUAUGAAUGCAAUCAAUGUGGUAAAGCCUUUGCAAGUCACAGUCAUCUCCAAAUACAUGAAAGAACACAUUUUAGAAAAAACCCUUAGAAUGCAAUCAAUGUUGUAAAGACUUUGGAUGUAAGACUAAUCUCCAAAGACAUAAAGGAAUAUAUAUGGGACAGAAACCUUAUGAAUGUAAUCAAUGUGGUAAAGCAUUUGCAACUCACAGUCAUCUACAAUGACAUAAAAGAACACAGAGGAGAGAAACCUGGUUAUUGUUUACAUAUUGACAUAAGGAGAUGCAAGUAUGUAUCAACUUGACAAGGGAUGGAUUGUGAUUGCUACUCUUGGUUUUCAAUAUAAGAUCUAAAGUGGAAAGCAUAGGUCCAGGCAUGGUGGUACAUGCCCUUGAACCCUAGGAGAUGAGCAUCAAGCAGAUCUCUGAGUUCAAGUCCAUCCUGAUACAGAACAAGUUUCAGGUGAAGAAAAGCUAAGGUCUAGGCCGGUGGAUACAGAGCCUUGCAGAUCUCUGAGUUCAAGGUCAGUAUAUAGAGCAAGUUCCAGGACAGCCAAGCUGAGGCAGUAAAGGAGUUGGAGAACAGAAAACUGGUGAUAAUGUAAUAGAAGAGGCCAUGUCCCAGGCCCAGAAAGCAGCAGAGCUCAGCAACUUUGUCCAUGUGGCUCUGACUUUAGAGGUAAGAAUAGAAGGGACUACUGGGAAAAUUGAAGCUUGUUAGCUGUGGAUGAGAAAUUAGAAGUGAUGAAGAAGAGACCAGCAUCAUUGAGGUGAAAUUUUCUAGGAAGUGUUUUCUGAGAGGACAAAGAAACUGUGUUCCAGAGAUAGCCAGGAUUGUACCUUGUGUUGCAGCUGAACUUGGUCACAUGUAAGAAUCAUCCAGGUGGUACUGGUUUUGAAGGCAUGACGGUGUCAUGAGGAGCAGCUGAGGCUUGGACCAAUGAAGGGAGCAUAAGUGAGACUAUCAGUGAAGCCUAGUUGCAGGAGAAGAACCCAACAUAUUGAAGAUGCCAGUCCAAUGGGAUGAGCAGAAAGAACAGCCCAGUAGAGUGGAGUCAACCAGAGCUUAGAGUGAUACAGAGGUCAGAGCUAGAGAAGUGACCUUAUCUCUUUGGAGGACUGCAGAAGAUCAUGUGUGGAUCCAAGACAUUGGAGCAAGAAGCUGUAACACUGAGGUUACCUUCCAGACCCCAAGAUCUUUGAGAUGUCAGAGCUGUGGGGUACCUGCUCAGGAAAACCAGCCAAAGAGAAAGAAUUGUGCUGCAGUUAACAAAGCAUAAAAGGAGUUGGAGAUCUAAAGAAUGCUUUAACAUGACACAUGGAGAUGCAGUUUCAAGAUUUCCAAGUUGACUUUUGGUUUUGUUUUCGUCCAGUAAUUCCUCAUGAUGACAUUUUGGAAUGGUGAAGUCUAUGUUGUGAAGUUGGAAUUAUAUGAUCUGCAUUUAGAUUUUUCUUUUUUAGGGGAUUACAGUUACAUUGAAUGAAUCUCAGAAGAGACUUUGACCUUUGGACUUUUAACGUAUUUGAGACUGGUAUAGAUGAUGGGGACUUUUGAGGUUGGACCUCGUGUAUUUUUCAUUAUGCAUGUUUAAAUAUGUUCCUUAUACAUUCCUGUACUCCAACAUGCUUAAGGGGGCCAGUGAGUGGAAUGUGGGAGUUUGAAUAUGCUUGUGACAGGGAGUGACUCUAUUCAGAGGUGUGACCUUGUAGGAGAAAGUGGAUAUCUCUGGGGGUGGACUUUGAAGCUCCACCAAGUGCAAAACAGACCCUCCUAUUCCCUCUCUGGAAGACAGUUUCUUCCUGGCUGCCUUUGGAUCAAAAUGCAGAACUCUCAGCUCCUUCUCCAGCAUCAUGUCUGCCUGCAUGCUGCUGUGCUUCCUCUGAAACUGUAAGCCAGCCCCAAUUAAAGGUUUGCUUUUAUGAGAGUUGCCAUGGUCAUGAUGUCUAUUCCUAGCAAUGGAAACACUAAGACAGAAACCUUGGGAGUGUAUUUAAUAUAGUGAAACCUUUUCACAAUUCUGUAGGCUUCAUCAUCAUGAAAGAAUAUAUACUGGAGCCAGACAGUGGUGGUGCAUGCCUUUAAUCCCAUCACUUGGGAGGAAGAUGCAGGCAGACUUCUGAGUUCUCGGCCAGCCUGGUCUACAAAGUGAUUUCCAGGACAGCCUGGGCUAUAGAGAGAAACCCUGUCUUGAAAAACCAAAACAAACAAAAGAGUAUGUCCUGGAGAGAAACCUUUUGAAUGUACUUCCUAUGGUUAGGCUUCUUCCUACGGUUAAGAAGGAAUCACUUUGACAGAUACAGUUCUCAUUCUCUGUCUUUAGAACCUGAGCAUCACCCAGGAGUUCAUGACAAGCUCCUUCUUGGACCCUGUCUACAUGUGUUAAAUCAGAAGUUUUGCUCUCAGUAUAUGACUCCUAGAAAAAUAAUUAAAGGUGGCCCCUGAACUCUAUAUUUCUGACUCUCCAGUUACUACUAAUCUAUCUUUCAAGCAGAGGCCCCAUAUCCUUGAGCUCUCUGGGAGCAGAGGUGAUCAGAAAGGUAGUCAAGGGCUCUGAAGCCCCUCAGGCACACGCGAGGUUUCAGGCAACACCAGCCCCACUCUGAAGCACACACACAAAAUCCUGUUGAGGAUUAAUCUAAUGCCUGCUCUCUGACACAGCGUUUGCAACACAGCAGGUAGAACUUGCCAUAUCCACCCAACAAACCCCAUACACAUCUAGGAAACUUCUACAGCUCAGAAACUCCUGUUGUACCUGAAAUUGGAUUUCCCAGAAUCAUGCCAGGUUCAAUGGUGGCAGUGGAAAAGUGAAAAUAUUCUGAUCAAGUAUUGCUAAACAAUGAUCCCCAUCACUGCCUUUAUACGACUUUCAAAUACUUCAUAACAUAUGUCACACAACAGUGAAUGUGUUUGAGCCUAUCCCUAACCCCUAACCCUAACCACUAAUUCCUUACCCUGUUAUCUCUUGACUCUCCUCUAUGUAUACUGAAUAGAGUAUAGAAUUAGGCUUAGAUUGAUGCCAGUUUGUCAUUAAUGUUUGCCUGAAGACAGACUUUUUUCCCAUAUGUAUUUCCUUCAAGUCUCAUACUCUAAGUGCCUUAAAUGCCUCACUUAUUCCUUCACAACUUGCAAGCAUUUUUGUAGGGUUUUAUUUUUCAUAUUGGAACGUUCCUUCAUAAUCUACAUAUAACGCCUACUUUGUUAAAACUGUUUCAAUGUUUCAUCACUCUAACAUUUUAUAUUUGCUAAUACCAUAAGAUACAAUAGGUUUAACAAAUCCACCAUCUCCUGUGAGAACAUUUAUUCAAGGGUGGGGAAUAAGCAAUGUUUAUCUCCUCUUUCUAAGUUCUCAGUGGCACCACAUCUCAAAAUUACCAUAGUUCAACCAAAGAUGCCAGUGAAAUUACUGAGUUUCCCUUAUAAAAUAUUGACAAGGUGUUUCUUAUGAGACCUGGAUAUCCUAGAAUCAGUCACAAUAAAAAUGCUUUACUCAUUAUGUAUGGAGACAAUUUCACAUUACAUAAAUAGUUAUACCUCUUCCCCCGAUAAAACUACUGGCCAGCCAUGUCCUCUUUUU
rnacentral:lncRNA from 1 species